rnacentral:misc_RNA from 1 species
GCAAACUUGGUCAUUUAGAGGAAGUAAAAGUCGUAACAAGGUCUUCGUAGGUGAACCUGCGAAGGGAUCAUUACCGAGUGAGGGCCCUCGGCCCGACCUCCAACCCUUUGUUAACCCCCGAGUUGCCUCGGGGGGCGACCCGGCCCUGGCUGCCGGGACCCCCGAUGGACCCCUCCAAACUCUUUGCGUAGAUGCGUCGGAGUAUGAAUUAAAUGAAUCAAAACUUUCAACAACGGAUCUCUUGGUUCUGGCAUCGAUGAAGAACGCAGC